rnacentral:lncRNA from 1 species
ACGCACGCGCAGGCCUGGCGUGACAAUCGGUCUGCGCGGGCGCAGUGGCGGCAGCCGCUGCACCCGCGUGGCUAGAAGCCCACGGUCUGCAGGCGAGUUGAGGUUUCAGGUCAUUCCAGCUUCGGCCGUGGGGCCCCGCUCAGACGCGCGCCUGUCUCCUGGUGAAAUCCUGGAGGCUGUCCUUUCCACCGUCCUGUCUGCACGAGGAGGACACAGGGGUCAGCUUCCUGGGAGAAGGGAGUCGUCCGGAUGGCUGGUCCCCGGAGGGAUGACUUACUGCAUGAACAUCGAAAUCAGAUGAACCCUGACGGCGACAGCGAUGGUAAUAGCGCCUCUUCCUCUGCUGCCAGACGCCUGCUCCAAGGAAGUUUCCUAAAACCAGAUAUCGCCACCUCCUCCUUCCUCCUGCUCCACCUGAGCCUCUGCUUCCUCUGCGGAGAACCUUGUGCCCAGGAAUCCACCUAAAUCCAGGGAUCUCUACAAGCUCCCUCUUCCCUCUGCACCCGAGCCGCUUCAGCCUCAGCAGGACACGCAUUCGAAGGAACCUGUCUACAUCCAUGAAAGGCUGCUGAUUCAAAGCCUGCUGUCUUGCCUUAAAUAGCAGGGUGGAUGAUUUCAGGGAGUGGGAUAUAAUUGGGUGGUGUUAGUGGCCUGACUGUAAGUCACACCCCUGCCCAUUCUGCAGCUCAGUGUGCUAUGAGGGAGAGGACUUGGGAAAUCAGGCUGGCAAGUUGCCCAGGGCUCUGCAGACCAGGGUUCUACUGUGGGGGGCAGAGGAAGGACUGAGCGUUGCUGUUUGAGCAUUUGGCCACCAGAUGGCAGCAGAGCUGCUCCCCCUGCAGCUCCUGGAUUCGUCUUCAGGCUCAGAGGCAAGGUUGGAGAUGGGUGUUUGGCACCCGGAGAGGUGCCCAGAGCUUUCCGUUUUGGUACAUGGUGCUUCUGACCCUAUGAGCAAAUAUGCCUCCUAUGAGAGAGGGGAAAUAAUUCUUUGAUCAUAUCUGUGGUUCAAUUCCUACAUGGACAGUUGGCCCAAUGGCUGGUGAGUGGACAGGCUGUCUCAGGUCUGAUUCCCCUUUGUUUGGAGGCCCAACUCUGGACAUAGAAAUAUGUGGAUUAUUUUUUGGCCAUACAGUUUGCUAGAAUCAGGUCUGUUCCAAAUGGAGUUGCGUUCUAGAAAGCUGGCCUUCUGGUUAUGAAUGAACUGUGUUAAACUGGGCGUUUUGGGGGGACAUGAUAAGCUCAUAACUGUGCUCUCUCUCUCCAUGGGUUUCUUCAAGCUUUUUCUUCCCUCCCACCUGAGCCUCUUUCUGUGCUGCCAGAACCUGUUGCAAGGAAGAUACUUCAAACAGAGGUCUCCGCAGCCUCUGUCUUCCCUCUGUAGCUGAGCUGCUUCUGCCUCUGCAGGACUCCACUUGAAGGAAGCUGUCUAAAUCCAUGUAAGAGAUCUCCUCGUAUUUUUUUCCCUCCCCCCUGAGGCUCUUCCUCCUCACCAGACACCUGUUCCAAGGAAGCUCCUGCAACAAGGGUGUGGGCUUGUGUCGUGAAGGUUGAGUAUCCAGAGUGACAGUGAAGAAUCCAUACUCCCACCCAAGAGUGGAUUUCAGUGUGCCUGAGAGGAAGAAGAGGAAGACAUCCUGCUGGCAUGUGCCCCAGGUCAGUGCAGACCAGAGUUUUGCUGUGGGAGGCAGAGGAAGGGCUGAGAGUUAUUAGAGCACAUGUCCACCAGAGGGCACCAGAGCCCCUCAUCGCCUCUGCAGCUCCCUGUUUGUAUCUCCAGGCUCAGAAGGGGUUGGAAGAGGGACCCAUGGAACCUCAGGGAGGGGCCCAGAGCCCGGUGUUGGUUUGCAUGGUGCCUCUGACACUGUGGCCCCAUUUGCCUCAAUGCAGGGAGGGGACAGAUUUCUGCCAUUAAAUAUCUAAUUCAGUUCCUAUCUGGCUGGGUGGCCCCAAGUUUAGGGAGUUUGAUAGGCUCUUGGUCUGUGUGUCCUUUACUUGUUUGGAAGCAGAACUCUGGACCCAGAAACACCUGGCUUCAAUGGUGGAUGUUCAGUUUUCUAGAAUCAGCCUGGUGGGGAGUUCGGCUUCUGGAAAGCUGGGCUUCGGUGAUGAAUGGGGUGUGUCUGUGCUGUUGUAUUUCAGGGGUGGGGUGGGCUAUGCACAUGGCUGAGCUCUUUUUCUCCAGAGAUGCCCACAACCUUCAUAUUUCCACUGCCCCUGAGCCACUUCCACCUCUGCGUGACACCCUUUGAAGGAAGCUCUCUCCAUCCAUGUAAGGUGAAUCACGGCUGGGUUGUUUAGUGUUCCAAGGUGAGUCCUGGAUAGGUAGGCUGCUCAUUCAAACCUGCUGGCCUGACUUACAUAGGAGGUUGCUGAUUUUAGGGAGUGGAUAAAUGUGGGCGGGGUGAGGGGCCUGGCUGACGUGAGACAGUCCCUCCCCACCCGUCAUGCAUCUGAGUGUGCUGAGAGGGAGAGCAGUAAGAAAGCCACCUGACAGCUGCCCCAGGCCCGGGCAGAGCAGGGUUCCUCUGUGGGAGGCAGAGGAAGGGCUGAGACUUGCUGUGAGGGCCUCUGUCCACCAGCCUGAGCCGGAGCAACAGCAGAGCUUCCCCUGACCCCCGCCUACUCUCACCACCGUGGCCACAUCACCAGGCUCAGAUUCAGAGAGCAAAGGGCUUGGGGGAGGCCCAAGGAGGUACUUGGGUACUUGGUGCCUCCUAUACUGUUGCCCAAUGUGCUUCGACUCAGAGGAGGAUUAAGGUUCUGCCCCACAUUUCAGGUUCAAUCUGUGCAUGAUCAGGUGGCCCAAUGGCUGGAGAGUUUGACAGGUGGUCUCGGGCCUGAGUGCCCUUUGCUGGUUUGAAGCACAUUGCUGGACCCAGAAACCCCUGCCUUAAAUCUUGGGCGUGCGGAGUUGUAAAUCAGCCUGGGGUGAAAUUUGGCUUCUGGAAAGCUGGGCUUUUGGUCAUGAAUGCAGUGCAUUAAUGUGGUGGUGCUGUGGGGGCAGGUCUCAGCCUCUCCCUGUGCCUUUCUCUCUAGAGAUCUCUACCUCCUCCUUCCUCCUGUUCCUCCUCUGUGGGGGAGCCUGUCAAGGAACCUACCUCAAUUCAGGGAGUGUGAAUGACGCCUGGGAGGUCCUGGAUCUCAAGCCAGAGAUCUCAAGCUUUUCCUUCCCUCCCACCUGAUCCUCUCCCUCCUCCGCCAGACACCUGCUGCAGGGAGGUCCUAAAACCAGGUAACUUUUACAAAGGCUGCAUGGUCCUUGGGUUCAUGCUGGGUCCUAGGCUUGAAGGGUGCUGACUGAUCAGGGGCUGCUCAUAGGACUUACCAAGUGGGGUUGUUGAUUUCAGGGUGUGGGGUGAGUUCCGGCUCUGAGAUUGUCACACCCCAGCCCGUAGCGUGUUUCUGGGCGCUGAAAGGGAGAGGAGGAAGGAAAUCACACUGGCAGUGCCCCCGGGCCCUGCAGAGCGGACUUCUGACGUGGGAGGCUGUCAGGGCUCCGAGUUGCUGUUAGAGCAGCACAUUCUGGUCAAAGGGCUCUGGAGAACCCCGGAGACCCUCCACUCCUUCAGGCUGAAAUACAUGGUUGCCGAUUGUAUGACGAGACCCCAUGGAAGUGCUCGGGGCUGAGAUGGGGUUACAGGGCGCCUCUUAUCAUCUGGCCAAUUUCUUUCACCUCAGGAUACUGGCAUAAUUGCUCACACAUCUUUGGUUCAAAUUCAGCGUGUUUCUCUGAUAAAUGACCAGAAAAUUUGACAGGGCUGACAUCACGCCCUCUCCUCUUGGGUGUUCAGUUCGCUGAGAGGAAGGGGCAGAGGACACUCACGCCGGUCUGUGCCCAAGACCAGUGCUUCAAACGUCAAAGCCCCAUCUUUAGCCCUGGUGUUUCUGGACCCAAGGGUCUGCCUCUGGAGAAACAGGGCCAGCUGACCCAGGGAGCCUGUCACACUCUGGCCCUGGGGCACCGAUCUGGCUGACAUGCCGCCAGAUGCUGAGGGCACAGCUGUGUCCCUGCCCUGAGGUGAGUCCGUUUGGCCAGAGCCGUAGAGGCUCCCUGUUUCCAGCCCCAAGCCUAUGAGCAUGUGCUGAGGGUCCCACAUCCUCCCUCAGCUGCAGCUCUGAGCCCGCAGUCUCAGCCAGGCGUCUGCCAGGGGCUCUGCCUGGGCUGGGGUUCAGCCUGGCGACCUUCAUCUAACACCCGUCUCGCAGCCCUUCCUCCUGUUUCUCAGCCGCCCUAGAAGGUACUCGGGCCUGGGGCCUGGGCUGCUUUAUUUCACACUGGCCUUGGCUGCUCAGUUUCAUUUCUCCUCAGCUGCUGAGCCACGUGAAUAUCCUAGAUACUGGGGUAUUUCCCUCUCCCAGUCUCCCCGAGCGCUCACCCCAACUUACCCCACCCCAAUACGUAAAAACCUCUGCAUCCCCACCAUUGGGUACCGAGAGCCUUCUUUAAAUCACUCCCAACUGCCUUCCCUCUCAGGCCCUUCCUUUAGUUCUGCUGCUUAAAACCGUGAUUGCAGACAGGACAUAGAGGUUCAGAUGGAAGGGAAAGAAAGAAUCUGGGGAGAACUCCUGAAAAAUAAAGCACAGGGGUUCCUGUCUGCCCCCUCAAAAUAGCACCACUUUCACAAGCUCCAUUCAUGACCACCAGCCCCAUUGGACACGUGAUGACUUUACAGAAGCUGCAGGGUUGGUAAUUGCGAGGCCAAGAUUCAAGCAGAUAUUGUGGGUCCAGUGUCCCUGCCCCCUGAGAAACUAAGAGCAAACCAACCCCAGAGAACGUGUCCACCUCUCUGGCCCCUGGCAGCCAGAGCCGGAUGGAACUACCCAUCAGAUGCAGAAAGCACAUGUCUUUCUGCUCCCUGAGGUCAGUCGAUUGGUGCCAGAGAGUCGGAUCUUAACACAUCCUGGGGCUCCCACUAACCCCUCUUGGCACCACCUCGUAGCCUGGAGGUGCAGCCAGGGGGCUUCGGAUGGGCUUUGUCUGUGCUCUGGCCCCUUCCGGAGGCCAUCUCCUCUAACACUGACUCUCAGCCUUUCCUCCGGUUUCCCUCAGCGGCCCCCCAGGGCUCUCCUGGCCUUGGGCAGCUGCCAGCUUGAUAGAAUUCCUCCUCACCUUCUAAGCCAAGUGAAGUGCCCUGAGAGAGGGACAAUUCUCUCAAAGACUCCCAGCACACUCCCCCACCCCAACUUAAUGCAUUAAAAUCCUUUUAAUUACCCUACUUUAAUUCCCGAGAACCACCUUUAAGUCUGCUCCCUGAAACAGGGCUUGGGGACAGGAAAACGAGGCCCCAAAGGAAAGAGAGAGGGAAUUUGGGGGAGGGUCCUGAAGCACAAAGCCUGGCGAUUUGCACAGUCGCCCAGAGGAGCCAGCACCACUGUUAGGCGCUCCAUUCCUGACCAUCAGCCCCUUUGCCGCAGGACAGUGACCUGGGUGGGGGGCGGGGCUUGGCAGUUGCGAGGCCAAGAUUCCGACCAGAGUCCUGCCUCUGAGAAACCAAAAGCAAUCCAUCCCCAGAGAACCUGUCAACUCUCUGGCCCCUGGGCCACCCAGGCAGGCUGGAAACGCCCAUCAGAUGCUGAAGGCACAGCCAUGACCCCUCCCUGAGGUGAGGCCAUUUGGGACAGAGAAUUAGAGGCACCCCAACCACCCCCAAAUCGAUGCGCCUGUGCUGAGUGCACCCACAUUCCUUCUUCUACUCGGGCUCUGAGCCUGAAUGUGCUGCCAGGCAGCGGCAGAGAGUCUCCGCCGGGGCUCCAUGUGGCCUGGUGACCAUCUGCUCCGACUCCAUCUCUCAGCCCUUCCUCCCGAUCCCCUCAGCAGCCCCUGGAGCUACCCUCUCCUUGGGCCCUGGCCGCUUGAUUUCAUUGCUCCUCAGCCACCCACUACAAUGAAGUACCCCAGACACUGGGUCAUUCUCAGUUUCCCGCAUCCCCGGACAUUCAAACUCUCUGCCUCCCCACCCACUGCGUCUUGAGUCUUUAAAUCAAUCCGCUUUCAUUCGCAAGACCUGCCUUCAAGUCGGCUCCUUGUGAUACAGAGGUAGAGG